CCUUUGCUGUGCCAAAGCUUGUCAGUUUGAUUAGGUCCCAUUGGUUUAUUUUUUCUUUUAUUUCUGUUGCCUCAGGAGACUGACCUGAGGAAAAACAUUUGUAAGGUUGAUAGCAGAGAAUGUUUUGCCUAUGUUCUCUUCUAGGAGUUUGAUGGUGUCUUGUCUUAUGUUUAAAUCUUUAAGCCAUUAUGAGUUUAUUUUUGGGCAUGGCGUGAGGGUGUGUUCCAGUUUAAUUGAUUUACAUGUUUUCCCAUACCACUUACUGAAAAGACUGUCUUGUUCACAUUUUAUAUUCUUGCCUCCUUUGUCAAAGAUUAAUUGACCAUAGGUGUCUGGGUUUAUUUCUGGGUUCUCUAGUCUGUUCCAUUGGUCUGUAUGUCUGUUUGGGGACCAGUACCACACUCUUUUGAUUACUGUGGCUUUGUAAUACUGCCUGAAGUCUAGGAGAGUUAUGCCUCCUGCUUGGUUUUUAUUUCUCAGGAUUGCUUUGGCAAUUCUGGGUCUUUAAUGGUUCCAUAUAAAUUUUUGGAUCAUUAACACAUUUAUAAGUAUGUAUACUUAUUCAGAUUAAUUUUCACUAUAGUUUAAGUACUGAAUAUAGUUGCCUAAGCUAUAUAGUAGGACCUAGUUUAUCUAUUUUAUAUGUAGUAGCUGUAUCUCCUAAUCCCAAAUUCCUAAUUUAUUUCCCUCCUUCCACCUUUGGUAACCAUAAGUUUUCUAUCUGUGAGUCUGUUUCUUUUGUAAAUAAGUUCAUUUAUGUCAUUUUUUUAGAUUCCACAUAUAAGUGAUAUCAUAUGAUAGUUGUCUUUCUCUGACUUAAUAUCUCUAGGUCUAUUUGUGUUGCUGCAAAUGGCAUUAUUUCAUUCUCUUUUUAUGGCUGAGUAAUAUUUCGGUGUGUGUGUGUGUACACCCACAUCUUUAUCCAUUCAUUUGUCAAUGAACAUUUAGUUUGCUUCCAUGUCUUCGUUAUGUAAAUCAUACUGCAGUGAACAUAGGGGUACCUCUUUUUGAAUUAGAGUCUUUUCAGGAUUCCUAUCGUGGCUCAGCAGGUUAUGAACAUGGCAUAGUAUUUGAGAGGAUGCGGGUUCGGUUCCCGGCCUUGCUCAUUGGGUUAAGGAUCUGGCAUUGCCACAAACUGCAGUGUAGGUCACAGAUAUGGCUCACAUCUGGUGUUGCCAUGGUUGUGGUGUAGGCUGGCAGCUGCAGCUCUGAUUUGACCCCUAGCCUGGAAUUUCCAUAUGCCGCGGGUGAGGCCAUAAAAGAAAAAAAUUAAAGUAUUGACGGUAGAAUUAGAGUUUUCUCCAGAUGCAUGAUCAAGAGUUGGAUUGCAGGGUCAUAUGGUAACUCUGUUUUUAGUUUUUAAGGAACCUCCAUACUGUUCUCCAUAUUGGCUGUACAAAUUUGCAUUUCCACUAACAGUGUGGGAGGGUUCCUUUUUCUCCACACAGAGAGUUAUUUAUUGUUAUCUAACUUAUAUGAUAGUGUAUAAUCUUAAGUGUACAGCUAGAUUAAUUUCUGCACAUAUUUAUACCCGUUAAAGCAUUAUCCAGAUCAAGAUAUAGAACAUUGCCAAGACCCUAGCAAGUUCUUUGUGGGCCCCUUCAGUCAAUAUGCCCUCAAAGUAACCAUUCUGAACUUAAUCACCAUAUAUUAGUUUGGGCCAUUCUUGAAAUUCAGAUCAAUGGAAUCAUAUAGUAUGUACUUUUGCGUAUGGCUUCUUUUGCUUAAAAUUAGGCCUGUGACAUUUAUCCAUUUUGCUGUAUUGGACCUUUUUUCUCCCAUUGCUGUGCAGUAUUCUCAGAAUAUAGCAAGAUUUAUGCAGCCAUUCUAAUCUUAAUGGACAUUUGGAUUGUUUCCAGUUUGGGGCUAUAAAGCAUCAUUUUUGCAUAGAUCUUUUGGAGACUGUAAGUACUCAUUUCUGUUGGGUAUACACCCAGGAGUAGAAUUGAUGGAUUCUAGGGUAUACAUUUGUUCACUGUAGUGGAAACUGCUGGUUUACCAAAGUGGCUGAACCAAAAACAAAACAAAAACAACCAGAAUGGUUGAACCAAUUUACGUUCUCAUUAGCAGUGUAUAGGGGUUCUCACAUGUCUACAAUUUUUUUUUUUUGAUAACAUUGAAUAGGAUCAGUUCUUUUCAUUUUUUACCAUUCUGACGCAGAUGUAAUAGAGAUUUUGACUUCCUAAUUUGAGUAUUUUGACCUUUUGUUCCACUGUUAAAAUGUCUUAUACUGACCAUCAUGGUGUAGGAAAUAUAUCUGAAAGAAGUUUGAAGAAAAAGCCCUUGAGCAAACAAGUAUUAAUUGAGUCCUUCCCAUGAGCUACGUGCUAUUCUAGGUACAAGGGAUACAUCAUUACACUCUAGGGUACAGACAGACAAAAAAAUAAGAGACAUACUAAGUAAAUUAUACAGUGUAUCAGAAAGUUAUAAAUGCUGUGGACAAAGGAAGGAAAGGAGGAUGUGGAGGGUUAGGAGUUGAGGGAUGUUGCCUUUUUAGACAGGAAGGUCAAGUAGAGUCCCCAGCUGAGUGGCAUUUGAGCCAGUGUCAAAGAGAGGUGAGAGAAUAAGUCAUGAAGGUACCCAGGGGAAGAGCACUCUAGGCAGAGGGAGGGCUAAGACAGGAGCAUGCUUGGCAUGUUGAAAGAAUUGUAAGAAAGCCAGUAUGGUUGGAGUGAGUCAAGUGGACAGGAAAUCUCUCCUUCUUCUCAAGAGGCACCAAACCUAUUAUUGAAUCAGAGCCCUAUCCUUAGGACCUCAUUUAACCUUAAUUACCCCCAUAAAGGUCCUGUCUCCAAAUACAGUCACAUUGGGGGUUAAGGCUUCAACAUAUGAAUAUGGGGCAAGGGGGUUGGGGGGGGAAAGUUGGGUCUAUUGGAGCUUGCAAGGUGAAAUUUUCAACCUGUUAACAUUCUCAAACAUACCAAGGCUGAAGAGAUAACCUUGCACAUUAACCAUGUAUUAUUUGCAUUAGUGCAUCUGAAGGUUUGCUGUUGAUAUAA
rnacentral:lncRNA from 1 species